GUGCUCUUAGUUCAAUUUGGUAGAACAUUGGUCUCCAAAACCCAAUGUGGUAGGUUCAAAUCUUAUAGAACAUG